GAUCCUGGCUCAGGAUGAACGCUAGCUACAGGCUUAACACAUGCAAGUCGAGGGGCAGCAUGGUCUUAGCUUGCUAAGGCCGAUGGCGACCGGCGCACGGGUGAGUAACGCGUAUCAAACCUGCCUUACACUCUUGGACAGCCUUCUGAAAGGGAGAUUAAUACAAGAUGUUAUCAUGAGUAAGCAUUUUCGCAUGAUUAAAGGUUUACCGGUGUAGAUGGGAGUGCGUU
rnacentral:rRNA from 1 species